rnacentral:rRNA from 1 species
CAAUAGCGUAUAUUAAAGUUGUUGCAGUUAAAAAGCUCGUAGUUGGAUUUCUGGUGGGAGCGAUCGGUCUGGCGCUUAGCGCGAGUACUUGCAUCGUCUCCGGCCAUCCUUGGGGAGAGUCUGUCUGGCAUUAGGUUGUCGGGCAGAGGAUCCUCAUCGUUUACUGUGAAAAAAUUAGAGUGUUCAAAGCAGGCUUAUGCCGUUGAAUAUAUUAGCAUGGAAUAAUGAGAUAGGACUUUUUCGCUAUUUUGUUGGUUUGCGCGAAGAGGUAAUGAUUAAUAGGGACAGUUGGGGGUAUUCGUAUUCCAUUGUCAGAGGUGAAAUUCUUGGAUUUUUGGAAGACGAACUACUGCGAAAGCAUUUACCAAGGAUGUUUUCAUUAA